CAUCCGGAUCAACUUUUUGGCGAUCUGCAAGAGAAAAUGAGAAAAAGGUAAUUCAGAGUUAGAGUAAUUCACUUUAAUUUACUUAAUGUGGGGUAAAUGAUAAAGGAGAGACAAUUAAAUAAUUGGUGGAAAUGAGAAAAUCUAGACACUAGGUGAACAUCUUAAUCUUUAGAUACUUUAUCAUAAUAAAUGGAGAUUGAUCUUGACUGGAUCUAUUAUAGGGUGUUUGUAGCAGGUAUAAGAUUAAGCCGAAGAGGUCAAAACACCGCACUCUCCGGAACAUAAUUCACUCCUCAACACCUUCAUCGACUCUUUCUCAGUGAAUGGCGUCCUUGCAUUCGAAACACAAACCAUCGCAGAUCGUGAGCUCGGGGUGCCACGUGAAACCAGAGUGAACCAGCGCAACUUUGUUCUGGAUACUGUAGCAGGUUAAACUCCUAAUUAUAAAGAAUAGACCCCAACAUAAAAAACAUUCGUCCUGUGUGCAAAAAGUCUCCGAAUUACACUAACCACUCACUUAAUACCGCUCUUCCUAGGGUCCGACGGAGUCGAAACAGGCCGUUUCUUGGACCUACCACCAAGUGAUUUCGAUGACAGUUGAUUUUUGCUAUUAUCCCAAAUAGGUGCUUAGGUACUCGCUACAACAACAAAAACCACUAAAAGCACCAUUAGAUUAGAUUGGUCGCUAAAGACGACAACGUCCGAACAAUCAACCGCGGUGCGAACCUAUAAAAUCCGGUUAAAUUCUGGCAAAUGUUGUUGUUGCCGGGUGAAAGCAUUACUUGCACAAUUUGCAGGAGGGUUCCGAGUUCACAGUCUCUGGCGGUUUCUAUUCUGGUUAAGUAAAAAUAUAGUGGUAAUGAACAAUUCUUGCGGUCUAUGAACCCGGCUGUCCCGGGAGUCCCUACUCGUACAUAUCCUCCUUGUGAUUAAUUGUCAGACCACCAGAUUUUUGGAAGAGCUCUGAUUAUUGUUGUCCAUUUUUGGAACUAUUCUGAGGCAUUUUGAAAUGUCAAGAGCCGCUACAAAGAGCUGAAUAUUAUCAGGACUCUGAAAAAUCUGCAAGAGAGAUCCCACAUUUCUGAUAACAUAGAAGCACCGAAAAUAUUGUGAAUUGAUAUACAUAUUUAAAAGUCUACUACCUAACCUCAUAAAGGUUGGCAAAUUUUCGAUGAUGUAAAGAUCAAACGAUACCUUUCCUCGAGUGGGCCGCUAGUACUAAAAUCUAAUCGGAAAUAUAGUCACUUUAUGGUAUCCAAAAUGCUUAAAUCUUCCAUCAAGCUUAUCUUUUGGAAUUGUGGAAAAUUUUCGAUGAUGUAGAAAUGAGACAUCACAAUUCAUGGAACCUAAACCUUUCGUAAACUCGUAAAAAGAGCAGCAGAGAUUAAACCAACUCUGUUAACUCGGUACUAAAUCACAUUCUAUGCAUCCGACGAGGGUUCAAACUUGUUUAACACUUUCUACUACUCAGCUCAGUAAAAAAAAAUUUAAAAUUUCACCAACCAGUUAAAAUUAUUAAGUUGGGAUUUUACAAAAUCUGGAGUGAUCGCAUAUAUGGGCAAAUCUGAUGAUACAGAUUUGAUUUAAUGACAGAAGAAAUGAAUGUUGCUUUUAAACAGUGAAGGUUAGACAAAUAAAUUUUCGCGGAAAUUUAUGAAAGGUACUUACACUUUAAUUCGAUUUCUUCAUCAUCCAGCAACAAUGAGACCACUUCCUUUGGCUUGAGGGUAUCGGGUUUGAAGUUGCCACCACUUAUGACCAUACGUUGGAUCUGUAAAUUGAAAAUUCCAGGCAAUGUAUUUAAACUAGAUCGACAAAUAGCAGAAAAAAAUUAGGUUAUUUUAAAAACCAUGCAUGCGUGUAAUUUAUU